AUGGAAUCUUAUCAUGAUUGUAUCUCCUUUGACACAACGUAUAUGACUAACAUGUACAACAUGCCCUUUGCACCAUUCGUUGGGAUUAACAGGCAUGGGCAAUCAUUCAUGUUGGGCUGUGGCUUUGUUAGGCAAGAGUUGGCGUCAAGCUUUGAUUGGCUAUUUGAAACCUUCCUUGAGGCAAUGCAUAAUGUAGCACCCACCAACAUCAUAACCGACCAAGACAUCGCAAUGGCACAGUCAAUUAAAAAGAUCUUCCCUACAAGUGUGCACCGUUGUUGCCGCUGGCAUAUUAUGAAAAAGGCACAAGAAAAGCUUGGAGCAUUGCUGGGGCGAAACCCUGGCUUAUCCAAAGAUUUCAACAACUGUGUUGACUUUAGCUUGACGCCGGAAGAAUUUGAGGCAGGGUGGAGUGAGCUGAUGAUGAAGUAUGAGGCUAUGACUGACUCUCACUUCGAGAAUCUAUACAAGUACAGAGAGACAUGGGUACCCUGCUACUUCAAGCACCAUUUCUUCCCUUUCUUGCAGUCAACUCAACGCAGCGAGGGGUUCAAUGAUGUCCUUAAGCGAUAUGUGAACCCACACAAGUCCAUUUUGAACUUUGUGAAGCACUAUCAGAAAAUCCAAACACACAUACUAGUCCGGGAGGGUUCAAAAGACUACAGGACAGCACAUUUACAGACUGAAAUGUGGUCAUCUUACCCAAUAGAGAAGCAGAUGUACGGAUCGUAUACUAGGGACUUGUACAAGAAGUUUCGUGAUGAGUUUCAGUUGACUACAAGGUAUAAUGUGUGA
rnacentral:rRNA from 1 species